CAUCCAUCCAUACUUUCCAAAUUAAAUCCUAACCAUUCAUCUAUCCUCUCUUUUUAGUCCCACAUCAAAAAAAUAUAAAAUCCUCCUCUCUGCCUACAUCUAUAAAUAAAGCCUGAUACCUCCAUUCAUAAUAUAUCUCUCUCCACUCUAUAAUUUUUAUAGGGGAGUCUGUGUGACAGACAGAUAUACCCACUUUUAAAAUUUUUUAGCCACCUUAUUUUCACUUUCUUCCAUCCUUCCAACACACGAGAAGGAGAGUCAGCCAGGGGAAGGUUGAUCCCAAGCC
rnacentral:lncRNA from 1 species